ensembl:lncRNA LINC01972 long intergenic non-protein coding RNA 1972
GGCAGACGCCCUGCUAUCCUCAUCUUAGGAUACCCAGUUCCCAACACAGUGCCUGCUGCAAAUUAUCAGUAAUAACAGGCCAUUAACUCCCCUGCUGGUCCCUAUCCAUGGAGCCCAUUGACAGAUGAGUUUGAUUCUGGACCUAAGAAGGACAGUUAACAGACACAGAUAUCUUUUAAGAAUCUUCCCUUCAGAGAAUACUAGAAAGUGUUCAGUAUGUUAAGCCCUUAGAAAUAAAUUCUGGCCGGGCGCGGUGGCUCACGCCUGUAAUCCCAGCACUUGGGGAGGCUGAGGUGGGUGGAUCACAAGGUCAGGAGAUCAAGACCAUCCUGGCCAACACGGUGAAACCCCAUCUCUACUGGGCGCCUGUAGUCCCAGCUACUCGGGAGGCUGAGGCAGGAGAAUGGCGUGAACCCGGGAGGGAACCCGGGAGGCGGAGCUUGCAACGAGCCGAGAUCGAGCUUGCAAUGAGCCAAGAUCGCGCCACUGCACUCCAGCCUGGGAUACAGAGCGAGACUCCGUCUCCAAAAAAAAUAAAAAUAAAAUUUAAAAG